rnacentral:rRNA from 1 species
CAUACAAGGCAUACGGCUCAGUAACGCGUAGUCAACCUAACCUAUGGACGGGAAUAACCUCGGGAAACUGAGAAUAAUGCCCGAUAGAACAUUAUGCCUGGAAUGAUUUAUGUUCCAAAUGAUUUAUCGCCGUAGGAUGGGACUGCGGCCUAUCAGUUUGUUGGUGAGGUAAUGGCCCACCAAGACUAUUACAGGUACGGGCUCUGAGAGGAGUAGCCCGGAGAUGGGUACUGAGACACGGACCCAGGCCCUAUGGGGCGCAGCAGGCGAGAAAACUUUGCAAUGUGCGAAAGCACGACAAGGUUAAUCCGGGUGGCUUCUGCUAAAGAAACCUUUUGUCAGUCCUAGGAACACUGAUGAAUAAGGGGUGGGCAAGUUCUGGUGUCAGCCGCCGCGGUAAAACCAGCACCUCAAGUGGUCAGGAUGAUUAUUGGGCCUAAAGCAUCCGUAGCCGGCUCUGUAAGUUUUCGGUUAAAUCUGUACGCUCAACGUACAGGCUGCCGGGAAUACUGCAGAGCUAGGGAGUGGGAGAGGUAGACGGUACUCGGUAGGAAGGGGUAAAAUCCUUUGAUCUAUUGAUGACCACCUGUGGCGAAGGCGGUCUACCAGAACACGUCCGACGGUGAGGGAUGAAAGCUGGGGGAGCAAACCGGAUUAGAUACCCGGGUAGUCCCAGCUGUAAACUAUGCAAACU